rnacentral:tRNA from 1 species
AAGCUUAUGGUGUAAUGGAUAGCACGCAAGGUUUCUACCCUUGAGGUAAGAGUUCGAAUCUUUUUAGGCUUACGA